UACGUAGGGUGCGAGCGUUGUCCGGAAUUACUGAGCGUAAAGAGCUCGUAGGUGGUUUGUCGCGUUGUUCGUGAAAACUCACAGCUCAACUGUGGGCGUGCGGGCGAUACGGGCAGACUGGAGUACUGCAGGGGAGACUGGAAUUCCUGGUGUAGCGGUGGAAUGCGCAGAUAUCAGGAGGAACACCGGUGGCGAAGGCGGGUCUCUGGGCAGUAACUGACGCUGAGGAGCGAAAGCGUGGGGAGCGAACAGG
rnacentral:rRNA from 1 species